rnacentral:siRNA from 1 species
AUCAAAGGAUGCAAGACGCUCC